rnacentral:pre_miRNA from 1 species
GGAUGGGGAUGAAGAUGGUGUGAUGAUGAUGAUGAUGAUGGUGAUCAUCAUCAUCAUCAUCAUCAUCAUCAUCAUCAUGACUG